UAACGAUUAUAAGAAAUAAAAUUAAAUAUUGCUCUAUAAUUAUUACUGAACAAUGGAAAAGUUGUUUUCAUCUCGCGGGACGAUUAUUUCAAGAAGAAUAUU